UGGGGAAUAUUGCACAAUGGGCGAAAGCCUGAUGCAGCAACGCCGCGUGAGGGACGACGGCCUUCGGGUUGUAAACCUCUUUUAGCAAGGAAGAAGCGAAAGUGACGGUACUUGCAGAAAAAGCGCCGGCUAACUACGUGCCAGCAGCCGCGGUAAUACGUAGGGCGCAAGCGUUAUCCGGAAUUAUUGGGCGUAAAGAGCUCGUAGGCGGUUUGUCGCGUCUGCUGUGAAAACCCGAGGCUCAACCUCGGGCCUGCAGUGGGUACGGGCAGACUAGAGUGCGGUAGGGGAGAUUGGAACUCCUGGUGUAGCGGUGGAAUGCGCAGAUAUCAGGAAGAACACCGAUGGCGAAGGCAGAUCUCUGGGCCGUAACUGACGCUGAGGAGCGAAAGGGUGGGGAGCAAAACAGGCUUAGAUACCCUGGUAGUCCACCCCGUAAACGUUGGGAACUAGUUGUGGGGUCCAUUCCACGGAUUCCGUGACGCAGCUAACGCAUUAAGUUCCCCGCCUGGGGAGUACGGCCGCAAGGCUAAAACU
rnacentral:rRNA from 1 species